AAUCUUCCACAAUGGGCGAAAGCCUGAUGGAGCAACGCCGCGUGAGUGAAGAAGGUUNNNGGAUCNUCAAACUCUGUUGUAGGNGACNAACAAUUACAGUAGUAACUGGCUGUCCCUUGACGGUUCCUUAUUAUAAAGCCACUGCUACCUACGUGCCAUCAGCCGCGGUAAUACGUAGGUCGCAAGCGUUGUCCGGAAUUAUUGGGCGUAAAGCGCGAGCAGGCGGUCCUUUAAGUCUGAAGUGAAAGCCCACGGCUCAACCGGGGAGGGGCAUUGGAAACUGGGGGACUUGAGUGCAGAAGAGGAAAGUGGAAUUCCAAGUGUAGCGGUGAAAUGCGUAGAGAUUUGGAGGAACACCAGUGGCGAAGGCGACUUUCUGGUCUGUAACUGACGCUGAGGCGCGAAAGCGUGGGGAGCAAACAGG
rnacentral:rRNA from 1 species